rnacentral:rRNA from 1 species
CAAUAGCGUAUAUUUAAGUUGUUGCAGUUAAAAAGCUCGUAGUUGGAUUUCGGUUGAGAGCGGCCGGUCCGCCGUUUGGUGUGCACUGGCUGGUUUCAACUUCCUGUAGAGGACGCGCUUUGGGCUUAACGGUCUGAACGUGGAGUCUACGUGGUUACUUUGAAAAAAUUAGAGUGUUCAAAGCGGGCUUACGCUUGAAUAUUUCAGCAUGGAAUAACACUAUAGGACUCCUGUCCUAUUUCGUUGGUCUCGGGACGGGAGUAAUGAUUAAGAGGAACAGUUGGGGGCACCUGUAUUGCGUUGUCAGAGGUGAAAUUCUUGGAUUUACGCAAGACAAACAGCUGCGAAAGCGUCUGCCAAGGAUGUUUUCAUUAA